ACGUAGGUGGCAAGCGUUGUCCGGAAUUACUGGGUGUAAAGGGAGCGUAGGCGGGGAGGCAAGUUGAAUGUCUAAACUAUCGGCUCAACUGAUAGUCGCGUUCAAAACUGCCACUCUUGAGUGCAGUAGAGGUAGGCGGAAUUCCUAGUGUAGCGGUGAAAUGCGUAGAUAUUAGGAGGAACACCAGUGGCGAAGGCGGCCUACUGGGCUGUAACUGACGCUGAGGCUCGAAAGCGUGGGUAGCAAACAGGAUUAGAUACCCUGGUAGUCCACGCCGUAAACGAUGAUUACUAGGUGUGGGGGGACUGACCCCUUCCGUGCCGGAGUUAACACAAUAAGUAAUCCACCUGGGGAGUACGGCCGCAAGGCUG
rnacentral:rRNA from 1 species